rnacentral:pre_miRNA from 1 species
CAGACAUUUGGAAAAGCACAUUUUGACACAGGCAAUAAUGUACUCUUCCCAAUGCCUGGG